GACGAAGGGGGCUAGCGUUGUUCGGAAUUACUGGGCGUAAAGCGCACGUAGGCGGCUUUGUAAGUUAGAGGUGAAAGCCUGGAGCUCAACUCCAGAAUUGCCUUUAAGACUGCAUCGCUUGAAUCCAGGAGAGGUGAGUGGAAUUCCGAGUGUAGAGGUGAAAUUCGUAGAUAUUCGGAAGAACACCAGUGGCGAAGGCGGCUCACUGGACCGGCAUUGACGCUGAGGUGCGAAAGCGUGGGGAGCAAACAGGG
rnacentral:rRNA from 1 species